rnacentral:rRNA from 1 species
UACGGGGGGGGCAAGCGUUGUUCGGAAUUACUGGGCGUAAAGGGCGCGUAGGCGGCCUUCUAAGUCGGACGUGAAAUCCCUCGGCUUAACCGAGGAACUGCGUCCGAUACUGAAAGGCUUGAAUCCGGGAGAGGGAUGUGGAAUUCCAGGUGUAGCGGUGAAAUGCGUAGAUAUCGAGAGGAACACCUGCGGCGAAGGCGGGUUGCUGGGCUGACACUGACGCUGAACUGCGAAAGCUAGGGGAGCGAACGGG